rnacentral:lncRNA from 1 species
CGAUCUCGCAUCAUCUCUUGUGUUUGUUUAUCAAUUCCGCCAGCUACUUGUACAUAAAUCAAGUCAAAAACAAACUUUCUAUAGAUCUUACAAAAAGUUUCGAUUAUUGUUGUCAUCAAAACACUUGAGUAAAACAAAUUGCAAUUCACACAAGAGAGGAACAAUUCAACCAUACUCAAGAACGCAUACAUGGCGAUGCAAUGCAAGCCAGAAAAUUAAACAAAUCCAGUGGAUGUCAUGUAACACUAGCUCAAACACGAUUCAAAUAUAAACCAACUGGAGUGUUGGGGAGUCUAGUAACGGCCAAAUAUCGUUGUUUAAUUGGGAGAAUUAAUGAAAUUCGAUCGAUCAUCCCUCAAAUCAUAGUAUCCAGCUCGGCCUCGGACAGGGAGGAAAUGGUCG